CCAAAAGGCGAGAAUCGCUUUCAACCCGUUCAGGUGGCCCUCCUGGGUGUGCACGGCUCAACCCUUGUGAACCAAAAAGCCUUUACGCUUCGGCAGCUGGGCUGCAUGCUGUAAGCCUGCCGAUAGCACCAACCUUCAAACCUGUCGGUAAACUAUUGUCUGAUAACCUAAUAUUUUCGAAUGAAAUUAA
rnacentral:misc_RNA from 1 species